CUGGAUCAAAGUGAUAAGGUGGUU
rnacentral:piRNA from 1 species